UACGAAGGGUGCUAGCGUUGUUCGGAAUUACUGGGCGUAAAGCGCGCGUAGGCGGCGGCACAAGUCAGGGGUGAAAUCCCACAGCUCAACUGUGGAAUUGCCUUUGAAACUAGGUCGCUAGAGUGUCGGAGGGGAUAGCGGAAUUGCUAAUGUAGAGGUGAAAUUCGUAGAUAUUAGCAGGAACACCGGUGGCGAAGGCGGCUAUCUGGACGACAACUGACGCUGAGGCGCGAAAAGCGUGGGGGAUCAAACAGG
rnacentral:rRNA from 1 species